rnacentral:rRNA from 1 species
GACGAACGCUGGCGGCGUGCUUAACACAUGCAAGUCGAACGGUAAGGCCCUUCGGGGUACACGAGUGGCGAACGGGUGAGUAACACGUGGGUGAUCUGCCCUGCACUUCGGGAUAAGCCUGGGAAACUGGGUCUAAUACCGGAUAGGACCCUGGGAUGCAUGUCCCGGGGUGGUAAGCUUUUGCGGUGUGGGAUGGGCCCGCGGCCUAUCAGCUUGUUGGUGGGGUGAUGGCCUACCAAGGCGACGACGGGUAGCCGGCCUGAGAGGGUGACCGGCCACACUGGGACUGAGAUACGGCCCAGACUCCUACGGGAGGCAGCAGUGGGGAAUAUUGCACUAUGGGCGCAAGCCUGAUGCAGCGACGCCGCGUGAGGGAUGACGGCCUUCGGGUUGUAAACCUCUUUCAGCACCGACGAAGCGCAAGUGACGGUAGGUGCAGAAGAAGGACCGGCCAACUACGUGCCAGCCGCCGCAGUAA